GACAGAGGGUGCAAACGUUGUCCGGAAUUAUUGGGCGUAAAGAGCUCGUAGGCGGUUCGUCGCGUCGGCUGUGAAAACCUGAGGCUCAACCUCAGGCCUGCAGUCGAUACGGGCGGACUUGAGUACUGCAGGGGAGACUGGAAUUCCUGGUGUAGCGGUGAAAUGCGCAGAUAUCAGGAGGAACACCGGUGGCGAAGGCGGGUCUCUGGGCAGUAACUGACGCUGAGGAGCGAAAGCGUGGGGAGCGAACAGG
rnacentral:rRNA from 1 species